ensembl:lncRNA
UAUGCUGUAGUGAAGAUUGUGAGGGAAAAAUACCUGAAGACCACAGCAUUUGAGUCCCAGGAGCAGUUCCAAGCAUUUCUCAGUGAGCUGUAUGUGUACCUUGUGGAUCAGAUGCACGUUGCCCUGAACCAGCUACUGUAUGAAGAAGCUUCUUCUCCUGUCCCUCGAAUCCGCAUGACUGACGAGCAGCUCUGGCUUUUUGCUCGUGAAGCUGAAGUCAACAAGGACUAUAAGCUGGCAUCGCUCUACCACCAGCAGAGGAUAGCUCAGGACCAGCACAACAUCCAGUACUGGCUGGACUACGGGGCAUUCUGCCUCCUGCUCGAGGACACCCUCAAAGCCCAGGAGUGCUUCCGGGAGGCUCUUUCUCUGGACCCACAUCAUGUGAGAAGGUGCUGUGUGCUCCCAGAGGGUGGGAAGGUGAUGGGUGUCCUGCAUGCUGCUGACGGGGAGCUGCUUCUAUCCCCAGCUUGCUGCUCUGUGGGAUCGUGGCAGUCAUGCUGCAGCACUAUGAAGAGGCAGAGAUUUUCUUUGAGGAUGCUUGUUGCUUGGAGCCAUCCAGUGUUGUAGCCUGGACGCUUUCAGGUACAAAAGCAAGCCAGCUUGUGUGCUGAAGGCAUUACUGUAGAGCUGAGCCUUGCUUCUUCUCCUGCUGCUCCUCCCCACUGCUGUAAUCUGAGGACUAAGGGAAAGAUUUUACUGAGGGCUAGAUUUCUGCUCAUGCUGCUAUUUCUGUAUUUGAUAGGUUUGUUCUGUGAGCUGCAGAAUAACUACAUUCAGGCAGAAAUGGCCUUCCGUGAAGCCAAGAAGAAACUCCAAGCACAGCAGGCCAGGGAGGGAAGCAUCUCUGGGAAAGGGAGAAGGCAAAUCAGUGCUACGUCUGUGAGGUCUUCCAGUCCAAGCCCAGAACAGCUCUUGCCAGAGGGGGUUCCAGAUGGCUCAGCCAGCGAGCUGCCAGAGACAGGGGAGGAGCCUGCCCUAGCUUCUAUGGUGCCUGAGGAAGAGGCUCCAGCAUCGGAGACAGCCUCAGAAGGUCAGGGAGUGGUAAACUGGUUGUGGGAUGGAGAGCCCAGGGCUGGGAGAUGGCUUUAUGCAAGCAGCAGGGAGGGAAAUAACUUGGGAGCAGUGGGCUGUGGCCGUCCUGAUGCCAAGGUGAGACAUCAAGCCUUGUUCUUUUCCCUUAGCUGGGAAAUCUGCAGCAAAGCUCUGCUCUCCUCUGGAUGGCAAAGAGAUGGCAGUGCUGGGGCCUUAUGGCUCCACUGGGCUGUGCUGUUCUCAUAUCCAUAAAAACAGAGGCCCUUCAGGAGAAAAUGCUGAGUUAAUAGCUGUUUGAGCCUCCCCUGCCAUCUUUACACUGUGUCACUGGGAUUCCUCUGUCCCAGCUAGGGGCUCAGCCCUGCUCUUGUUUCAGUUUGGAACUGAUGGAGAUGCGUUUUCUUACAGAUCCAUCCCAUGUUUCAGGGCACAGGGAACCUGUCUGCACAAUCUUCAUGAAGACAGUGGAAUUCCUGAUGAAAUUCAAUGCCAUCCAGGUCAGCUCAACAUGAAGUGAAGGGAGGGAAGGGAUUUGCAGUUUCCUUCCCUGGGUUACUACCAAACUGGCAAGCUCCAGCAAAGGCCCCUGUUGGGCUUAAAGAACACACUGGGGUUACUCCAGCAGCAAAAGCACUGCCCAGAAAUGCAAACCCAUGGUCAGGCAGAAUGUUAAGACCAAAGUGCUGCUUGGGAAUGAAGACACCUCAGGGAGACAGGGCUCUGGGACUGCAUGGAUGUGGAGGGAGCAGCCAAGCCAGACAGUGCAGGGGUGUCCUCUGUACAUCCAGAGAUGAGAAGCAUUACUGUGAUGCUUCCAAUACAGCAGUACUCCUUUCUUUUUUCAGACAUUUGCUUAUGUCAGAGCAAUUUUUGUGUCACUUGUAGGAUGUCCCUGUUCCGCACAGCCAUCUCUAUGACACUUCUCUGACUGCCAUAUUAAGCUGUCUGCUUUCAUUUUACGUGGCAGAAAGAGCUGCUUAAAGCAAAACAGCCCUAAAAGUAACGGGAAGUAAAUUUUCAAAGCUGAGGAAGAAAAAAAUCCUCUCCCAUCUCAUGUUUGUGGAAGUCAAACAAGAGCAAGACAAUCCUCCUUGAAGAGCACUUAGGGCAGGAGCAGUGUCCUCCUGGGGAUGCCUGUGCUUUGCCUGCUCCCCCAGCCAUACUGCUGUGCCAUUCCUUUGCAGUUUGUUCACAUGGCACUUGCCCACGAGCUGCUGAGCCAUCAGGGAGGCCCUUCCAGUGCUUACUACCU